rnacentral:rRNA from 1 species
UACGGGGGGCGAAGCGUGUUCGGUAAUUACUGGGCGUAAAGGGCCAGUAGGCGGCCAACUAAGUCGGAUGUGAAAUCCCCAGGCUCAACCUGGGAAACUGCGAUCCGUAUACGUGGAUUGGCUUGAAUUCGGGAGGAGGGAUGGCGAAGAAGUUCCAGGUGAUUCAGCGGUGGAAAUGACGUAGAUAUCUGGAGGAACACCAGCGGCGAAGGCGGCAUCCUGGACGUGUCUGACGCUCAGGAGCGAAAGCGGUGGGGAG